CAGUCGCCGCGGUAAUACGAAGGUGGCAAGCGUUGUCCGGAAUUAUUGGGCGUAAAGCGCGCGCAGGCGGAUAGGUCAGUCUGUCUUAAAAGUUCGGGGCUUAACCCCGUGAUGGGAUGGAAACUGCCAAUCUAGAGUAUCGGAGAGGAAAGUGGAAUUCCUAGUGUAGCGGUGAAAUGCGUAGAUAUUAGGAAGAACACCAGUGGCGAAGGCGACUUUCUGGACGAAAACUGACGCUGAGGCGCGAAAGCCAGGGGAGCGAACGGGAUUAGAUACCCCAGUAGUCCCUGUCUCUUAUACA
rnacentral:rRNA from 1 species